GAUAACUGGAAGCUUCUUUCACGGUGCAAGUACCGAAAUUAUAAAAAAAAAGCUCUUAGACCUCGAUCUUGUUUCGUUUCUAAUCACUUUUGAACGUUUCUAAUCACUUUUCUAGUAGAUUUGUUCCGUUCAGCUCUGAGAUGCAGAUCAUUUUCCAGGAAGUUAUAUAUCUCCUCAAGGAAAAGAGCCCCAAGAGUCAGAGCUUAAGAAUGAGCUGAUAGCGAUGAUUGAUUUGUCAUCGAUUGUCGGGUGUUCGAUUGCUGAACGAGGAAUCCGGCGUUCCGAUACACUGGCUAAUGGAAAAAUACUGCUCUUUAACAUCUCGGUUGAAGUGUAUAAUUAUACUUCGCCACGUUAACACGUCCAAGGAGUUUGUUAAUUGGACCAUCGAGAGGAGCGACCGCCGCAGUUGCCUAACGAUGCUGCAGACGCAUUACUAUCAAUUAAAAGGGCAAUAAUGUUCCUGCAGGUUCGGCGACGCCGUCCGUUCGGCCAUCGCAGCACCCUGUUUAAGGUACUCGAACUGCACAGAGAGAACGGAGCGGAGUUAAUCCUUUGUGCAGGACCUUAGCCGGCGCUCCGCGUUGAAUUUGGGUAGGUAUGCUAAUUUCCUUAGUGCUUCAAGCCGUUCAUAACGUAGUUAGGAGCCGGGGUGGGAGAACCGGAGGCAAGGAGCGCCCCAAAGAGAUAUCCUAGGUGAGAGCAGCCCCGAAGGCGCAAAACUCAUUCCAAAGAGUCCGAAGGUGCUCGAAGAAAAGAGGCUAACAAACUCCGCAAGCCUCGAAGCAGACGGGAGGAAAUUAAUUCUCUGUUUUCAAGAGGCUCGCGUAAUCACCGCGACAAAUUGAAGGAUUGCCGCUGCUGCUGCUGCUGCUGCUGCUACUGCUGUGGUUAAACACCCGAGCCGGCAAAAAGUGUAGGAUGUGAAUAAAAAAACGAUGUGCUAUCCGCCCCGUACCUUCGGGGGACAGGAAACUGGACUCCAUGGAUCCGCAGGAAUAUCGAGGACCUCGAUGGAUCCGCAUAACGAUCGACGAUUGUCGGUGACGGACGAGCUAAAACAAGGGGACCAUCAAAAAGUAAUACAACGACGGAGUUUCGGAUUGAGACAGUAAUAUCAGGUCGUGAUAUAUACCGAGAUGUUUGCAUCGAAGCGAGGAGAGUAGUAUUUGCUUUGACACCUUUCUCCGGGGGAAGUUGGAAGCCUCUGGGGGAUUUCUGGCGUAUCCGAAGGACCCUCCAUCCAUCCCUCCUCGAAGAGUCGUCGUCGUCGUCGUCGUCUGGUGGAAGAGCUAACAAACUUAUCCCGAAGGCAGCGGGGCGCACCGUGGCAAACUCACUUUCUUCUUCCUCUCUUCUCUUCUGUCUGCUCUAAGGAAUCGCUUCGCGCGAUGCGCGGAUUUGCGAUAUCGAGAAGUGAGCAACCCCUCGAUUCGGUAAAGCACUCGUAAUUGCGAGGCUUGAUCACCGCGGCUCAGGAAGCUCCGUUGCACCGUGCAUAAAAUCCCCUCGAUGCAGGCGCAGGGGGUGAAA
rnacentral:lncRNA from 1 species